AAUGAACGCUGGCGGCGCGCCUAAUACAUGCAAGUCGAGCGAGAAGACGUAGCAAUACGUUUGUAAAGCGGCGAACGGGUGAGGAAUACAUGGGUAACCUACCCUCGAGUGGGGAAUAACUAGCCGAAAGGUUAGCUAAUACCGCGUACGCUUCUUGGACUUCGGUUCAGGGAGGAAAGCGAUACCGUGGGUAUCGCGCUCUUGGAUGGGCUCAUGUCCUAUCAGCUUGUUGGUGAGGUAACGGCUCACCAAGGCUUCGACGGGUAGCUGGUCUGAGAGGACGAUCAGCCACACUGGCACUGCGACACGGGCCAGACUCCUACGGGAGGCAGCAGUAAGGAAUAUUGCGCAAUGGGCGAAAGCCUGACGCAGCGACGCCGCGUGGGGGAUGAAGGUCUUCGGAUUGUAAACCACUGUCGGGAGGGACGAAUACGCCGC
rnacentral:rRNA from 1 species